GCUUAACACAUGCAAGUCGAACGGAAACGAUAGAAGCUUGCUUCUAGGCGUCGAGUGGCGGACGGGUGCGUAACGCGUGGGAAUUUACCUUUUAGUGGGGGAUAGCCCGGUGAAAACCGGAUUAAUACCGCAUACUACUCUACGGAGGAAAAGGGGCCUCUCCUUGGAAGCUCUUGCUAUUAGAUGAGCCCGCGUAAGAUUAGCUAGUUGGUUGAGGUAAUGGCUCACCAAGGCAACGAUCUUUAGCUGGUUUGAGAGGAUGAUCAGCCACACUGGGACUGAGACACGGCCCAGACUCCUACGGGAGGCAGCAGUGGGGAAUAUUGGACAAUGGGCGCAAGCCUGAUCCAGCAAUACCGCGUGUGUGAAGAAGGCCUGAGGGUUGUAAAGCACUUUCAAUAGGGACUAAAUGUUCGUAGUUAAUAACUGCGGAUCUUGAAUUAACCUAUAGAAGAAGGACCGGCUAACUCCGUGCCAGCAGCCGCGGUAAUACGGAGGGUCCGAGCGUUAAUCGGAAUUACUGGGCGUAAAGCGCGCGUAGGCGGUUUAUUAAGUCGGAUGUGAAAGCCCUGGGCUCAACCUGGGAACUGCAUUCGAUACUGGUAAACUAGAGUAUAGUAGAGGUAAGUGGAAUUCCAUGUGUAGCGGUGAAAUGCGUAGAUAUGUGGAGGAACAUCAGUGGCGAAGGCGACUUACUGGACUAAUACUGACGCUGAGGUGCGAAAGCGUGGGGAGCAAACGGGAUUAGAUACCCCGGUAGUCCACGCCGUAAACGAUGUCAACUAGCCGUUGGGAGCAUUUGAGCUUUUAGUGGCGCAGCUAACGCAUUAAGUUGACCGCCUGGGGAGUACGCACGCAA
rnacentral:rRNA from 1 species